UAGAUACCCUGGUAGUCCACGCAGUAAACGAUGAAUACUAGAUCUAUGCGAUAUGACAGUAUGGGUCUAAGCGAAAGCGAUAAGUAUUCCACCUGGGGAGUACGCCGGCAACGGUGAAACUCAAAGAGAUUGGCGGGGGUCCGCACAAGCGGAGGAACAUGUGGUUUAAUUCGAUGAUACGCGAGGAACCUUACCCGGGAUUGAAAUGUAGAUGCAUGAGGCUGAGAGGUCUCUUCCCUUCGGGGCUUCU
rnacentral:rRNA from 1 species